UAGAACGUGGUGUCUUGGUAGCACGAAGAAUUUUGGAUUCUUAGGAGUAGGUUCAAGUCCUAUUGUUCUAG
rnacentral:tRNA from 1 species